CCGAGUGAGGGCCUCCGUGCCCAACCUCCCAACCCUUUGUUGAUGAAUACUUGUUGCCUCGGGGGGCGACCCGGACGUCGCGCCGGCAGUCCCCCAGAGGUCCACCAAACCCUGCAUCUUUGCGUCGGAGUAUUGAAAUUAAAUCAAUUA
rnacentral:misc_RNA from 1 species